UUGGCCAAAUUAUUAAUGGUUU
rnacentral:snRNA from 1 species